UUUGUGACUGAGUGGCGGACGGGUGAGUAACGCGUGGGUAACCUGCCUUGUACAGGGGGAUAACAGUUGGAAACGGCUGCUAAUACCGCAUAAGACCACAGCACCGCAUGGUGCAGGGGUAAAAACUCCGGUGGUAUGAGAUGGACCCGCGUCUGAUUAGGUAGUUGGUGGGGUAACGGCCUACCAAGCCGACGAUCAGUAGCCGACCUGAGAGGGUGACCGGCCACAUUGGGACUGAGACACGGCCCAAACUCCUACGGGAGGCAGCAGUGGGGAAUAUUGCACAAUGGGGGAAACCCUGAUGCAGCGACGCCGCGUGAGCGAUGAAGUAUUUCGGUAUGUAAAGCUCUAUCAGCAGGGAAGAAAAUGACGGUACCUGACUAAGAAGCACCGGCUAAAUACGUGCCAGCAGCCGCGGUAAUACGUAUGGUGCAAGCGUUAUCCGGAUUUACUGGGUGUAAAGGGAGCGUAGACGGAGUGGCAAGUCUGAUGUGAAAACCCGGGGCUCAACCCCGGGACUGCAUUGGAAACUGUCAAUCUAGAGUACCGGAGAGGUAAGUGGAAUUCCUAGUGUAGCGGUGAAAUGCGUAGAUAUUAGGAGGAACACCAGUGGCGAAGGCGGCUUACUGGACGAUGACUGACG
rnacentral:rRNA from 1 species